UACGUAGGCAGCGAGCGUUGUUCGGAGUUACUGGGCGUAAAGAGCGUGUAGGCGGCCAGACAGGUCCGUUGUGAAAACUCGAGGCUCAACCUCGAGACGCCGAUGGAAACCGUCUGGCUAGAGUCCGGAAGAGGAGAGUGGAAUUCCCGGUGUAGCGGUGAAAUGCGCAGAUAUCGGGAAGAACACCCGUGGCUAAGGCGGCUCUCUAGUACGGUACUGACGCUGAGACGCGAAAGCGUGGGGAGCGAACAGG
rnacentral:rRNA from 1 species